AACGAACGCUGGCGGCAGGCCUAACACAUGCAAGUCGAGCGGACCCUUCGGGGUUAGCGGCGGACGGGUGAGUAACGCGUGGGAAUAUGCCCUUCUCUACGGAAUAGUCCUGGGAAACUGGGGGUAAUACCGUAUACGCCCUUUGGGGGAAAGAUUUAUCGGGGAAGGAUUAGCCCGCGUUGGAUUAGGUAGUUGGUGGGGUAAUGGCCUACCAAGCCGACGAUCCAUAGCUGGUUUGAGAGGAUGAUCAGCCACACUGGGACUGAGACACGGCCCAGACUCCUACGGGAGGCAGCAGUGGGGAAUCUUAGACAAUGGGGGCAACCCUGAACUAGCCAUGCCGCGUGAGUGAUGAAGGCCUUAGGGUUGUAAAGCUCUUUCAGCUGGGAAGAUAAUGACGGUACCAGCAGAAGAAGCCCCGGCUAACUCCGUG
rnacentral:rRNA from 1 species